CAGCAGCCACGGUAACACGGAGGGUGCAAGCGUUACUCGGAAUCACUGGGCGUAAAGGACGCGUAGGCGGAUUAUCAAGUCUCUUGUGAAAGCUAACGGCUUAACCGUUAAACUGCUUGGGAAACUGAUAACCUAGAGUAAGGGAGAGGCAGAUGGAAUUCUUGGUAUAGGGGUAAAAUCCGUAGAUAUCAAGAAGAAUACCUAUUGCGAAGGCGAUCUGCUGGAACUUAACUGACGCUAAUGCGUGAAAGCGUGGGGAGCAAACAGGAUUAGAUACCCGUGUAGUCCCUGUCUCUUAUAC
rnacentral:rRNA from 1 species